GACGAACGCUGGCGGCGUGCUUAACACAUGCCAGUCGAACGGAAAGGCCCUGCUUUUGUGGGGUGCUCGAGUGGCGAACGGGUGAGUAACACGUGAGUAACCUGCCCUUGACUUUGGGAUAACUUCAGGAAACUGGGGCUAAUACCGGAUAGGAGCUCCUGCUGCAUGGUGGGGGUUGGAAAGUUUCGGCGGUGGGGGAUGGACUCGCGGCUUAUCAGCUUGUUGGUGGGGUAGUGGCUUACCAAGGCUUUGACGGGUAGCCGGCCUGAGAGGGUGAACGGCCACAUUGCGACUGAGAUACGGCCCAGACUCCUACGGGAGGCAGCGGUGGGGAAUAUUGCACAAUGGGCGGAAGCCUGAUGCAGCAACGCCGCGUGCGUGAUGACGGCCUUCGGGUUGUAAACCGCUUUCGCCUGUGACGAAGCGUGAGUGACGGUAAUGGGUAAAGAAGCACCGGCUAACUACGUG
rnacentral:rRNA from 1 species